rnacentral:rRNA from 1 species
GAUGAACGCUAGCUACAGGCUUAACACAUGCAAGUCGAGGGGCAGCAUGGUCUUAGCUUGCUAAGGCCGAUGGCGACCGGCGCACGGGUGAGUAACACGUAUCCAACCUGCCGUCUACUCUUGGACAGCCUUCUGAAAGGAAGAUUAAUACAAGAUGGCAUCAUGAGUCCGCAUGUUCACAUGAUUAAAGGUAUUCCGGUAGACGAUGGGGAUGCGUUCCAUUAGAUAGUAGGCGGGGUAACGGCCCACCUAGUCUUCGAUGGAUAGGGGUUCUGAGAGGAAGGUCCCCCACAUUGGAACUGAGGCACGGUCCAAACUCCUACGGGAGGCAGCAGUGAGGAAUAUUGGUCAAUGGACGAGAGUCUGAACCAGCCAAGUAGCGUGAAGGAUGAAGGUCCUACGGAUUGUAAACUUCUUUUAUAAGGGAAUAAACCCUCCACGUGUGGGAGCUUGUAUGUACCUUAUGAAUAAGCAUCGGCU